UGAGGAUGGAAUGGGGGGGGGGGCAAGUUACAGGGGCUGGGGAUGGAAUUGGGGGGGCAAGUUACAGGGGGAGAAGGUGAUGUUUGCUCUGAGGAUGAGGAAGCAGUAGUUCCAGGUGGGUUCUGGAGAAGCUAUCCCAGGAUGAGGUAGCAGUAGUUCCAGGUGGGUUCUGGAGAAGCUAUCCCGGGAUGAGGUAGCAGUAGUUCCAGGUGGGUUCUGGAGAAGCUAUCCCAGGAUGAGGUAGCAGUAGUUCCAGGUGGGUUCUGGAGAAGCUAUCCCAGGAUGAGGUAGCAGUAGUUCCAGGUGGGUUCUGGAGAAGCUAUCCCAGGAUGAGGUAGCAGUAGUUCCAGGUGGGUUCUGGAGAAGCUAUCCCAGGAUGAGGAAGCAGUAGUUCCAGGUGGGUUCUGGAGAAGCUAUCCCAGGAUGAGGUAGCAGUAGUUCCAGGUGGGUUCUGGAGAAGCUAUCCCAGGAUGAGGAAGCAGUAGUUCCAAGUGGGUUCUGGAGAAGCUAUCCCAGGAUGAGGUAGCAGUAGUUCCACGUGGGUUCUGGAGGAACUAUCCCAGGAUGAGGAAGCAGUAGUUCCAGGUGGGUUCUGGAGAAGCUAUCCCAGGAUGAGGAAGCAGUAGUUCCAGGUGGGUUCUGCAGAAGCUAUCCCAGGGUGAGGUAGCAGUAGUUCCAGGUGGACUAUGGAGGGGUUAACCCAGGAAGAGUUAGCAGAAGUGACAGGUGUAGUUAAAAGAGGAGGUGAGCAGUGAAAUUUGAAUUGUGCAGAGUGUGGAUUUACAGCCCAUCCCAGGUUCAAAGCUCAUUUUAACAGAGAUAAAUUGGUGUGGUCUGGCACUGUGCCUUCACCUCACCUUCUAGGUACACACGUUGUAUGCUGGCAAC